rnacentral:rRNA from 1 species
UACGAAGGGGGCUAGCGUUGCUCGGAAUGACUGGGCGUAAAGGGCGCGUAGGCGGUUUGCACAGUCAGGCGUGAAAUUCCUGGGCUUAACCUGGGGGCUGCGCUUGAUACGUGUGGACUGGAGUGCGGAAGAGGGUCGUGGAAUUCCCAGUGUAGAGGUGAAAUUCGUAGAUAUUGGGAAGAACACCGGUGGCGAAGGCGGCGACCUGGUCCGAUACUGACGCUGAGGCGCGAAAGCCAGGGGAGCAAACGGG